rnacentral:lncRNA from 13 species
CCCGCCUCCCUGUGAACAGGGCCAGAGAGAGAACAUCUUCAGGAAAGACCAGCAGGGGGCAUCCCUGGGGGGUGUGGCCUCCAGUAGGAUGAAUGACAGUUGGUUUCAUCCCCUGCACAUGGCAGAGCUUCCAUCUGAAUGUGGCUCUGAAGAAUGUGGGUGCUGCAGAACAGCCACAUCGGAGUCAUGGAAGCGUCACAUCAGAGCCACAGAACAGUCACAUCAGAGCCACAGAACAGUCACAACAGAGCCACAGAACAGUCACAUCAGAGCCACAGAACAGUCACAUCAGAGCCACAGAACAGUCACAUCAGAGCCGCAGAACAGUCACAUCAAGGCCACAGAACAGUCACAUCAAGGCCACAGAACAGUCACAUCAGAGCCACAGAACAGUCACAUCAGAGCCACAGAACAGUCACAUCAGAGCCACAGAACAGUCGCAUCAGAGCCGCAGAACAGUCGCAUCAGAGCCGCAGAACAGUCGCAUCAGAGCCGCAGAACAGUCACAUCAGAGCCACAGAACAGUCGCAUCAGAGCCACAGAACAGUCGCAUCAGAGCCACAGAACAGUCGCAUCAAGGCCACAGAACAGUCGCAUCAGAGCCACAGAACAGUCACACCAGAGCCACAGAACAGUCACACCAGGGCCACAGAACAGUCACACCAGAGCCACAGAACAGUCACAUCAGAGCCACAGAACAGUCGCAUCAGAGCCGCAGAACAGUCGCAUCAGAGCCGCAGAACAGUCGCAUCAGAGCCGCAGAACAGUCACAUCAGAGCCACAGAACAGUCACAUCAAGGCCGCAGAACAGUCACAUCAGAGCCACAGAACAGUCACACCAGGGCCACAGAACAGUCACACCAGGGCCACAGAACAGUCACAUCAGGGCCACAGAACAGUCACAUCAGAGCCACAGAACAGUCACAUCAGAGCCACAGAACAGUCACACCAGAGCCACAGAACAGUCACAUCAAGGCCACAGAACAGUCACACCAGAGCAACAGAACAGUCACAUCAGAGCCACAGAACAGUCACAUCAGAGCCACAGAACAGUCACAUCAGAGCCACAGAACAGUCACACCAGAGCCACAGAACAGUCGCAUCAGAGCCGCAGAACAGUCGCAUCAGAGCCACAGAACAGUCACAUCAGAGCCACAGAACAGUCGCAUCAGAGCCACAGAACAGUCGCAUCAAGGCCACAGAACAGUCGCAUCAGAGCCACAGAACAGUCGCAUCAGAGCCACAGAACAGUCACAUCAGAGCCACAGAACAGCCACAUCAGAGCCACAGAAAGCCGCAUCAGUUGCAUGGGAUUCUCCGAGGCCCCCCU